CAGCAGCCGCGGUUAUACCGGCGGCCCGAGUGGCGGCCACUAUUAUUGGGCUUAAAGCGUCCGUAGCCGGGUUGGGUAGUCUCCCGGGAAAUCUGGCCGCUUAACGGUCAGAAUUCCGGGAGAUACUGCCAGCCUAGGGACCGGGAGAGGCCGAGGGUAUUCCCGGAGUAGGGGUGAAAUCCUAUAAUCCCGGGAGGACCACCUGUGGCGAAGGCGCUCGGCUGGAACGGGUCCGACGGUGAGGGACGAAGGCCAGGGGAGCAAACCGGAUUAGAUACCCGGGUAGUCCUGGCUGUAAACGAUGCGGACUUUGUGUCGGACAAGCUAUGAGCUUGUCCGGUGCCGGAGGGAAACCGUUAAGUCCGCCGCCUGGGGAGUACGGCCGCAAGGCUGAAACUUAAAGGAAUUGGCGGG
rnacentral:rRNA from 1 species